UCCCUAGUAGCUCAGAUGGUAGAGCGUCCGACUGUUAAUCGGAAGGUCGUUGGUUCGAGUCCAACCUUCGGAG
rnacentral:tRNA from 1 species